GUCACAUACAACUUCAAACUGUAGAUAGAUGACACAGGUGAUAUUUUAAAUUCUCACUGUGAAUGUCCAGCAGGCAGAGGGCCCCAUGGGACCUGUAAACAUUUAGCUGCAGUAUUGCUGAUGUUACAUCAUUUUGCUGCAGGCAAAGGGCUGUGUAUUAGGAGAUCCUGUACUGAAAAUCUACAAACAUUCCAUAAGCCAAAAUAUUCAUUUACAGACUGCUGCACAUGACCACGAUUACCUGAAAAAACCAUUCACAGAAUACUGGGUAGAGAAGGCAAUUCAGGUAACUAUGACAGGAGCUUCAGCGAUUGAAAAGAGACCUAGAGGGCAGUCUUCGUCCCAAGAAUGGUUCAACGAGAGAUCUUGGCGUAUCACUGCAUCAAGAUAUGGCGACAUUUGUUUGGCUACAGAGAGGAGAGACAAGGUGAAACUUUGCCAAUCCCUACAUCAGCCUUCAGCAGCUUCAUUUAGAUCAGAGGCACUUGUACAUGGGAAGACCUACGAGAGUCGAGCAUUAAAAAACUUUGAGAAAAAAACCAA